rnacentral:rRNA from 1 species
GUGGACGCCAGUCUGCGUGGAGCCGACCUUGAAAUACCACCCUUUAAUGUUUGAUGUUCUAACGUGGACCCGUGAUCCGGGUUGCGGACAGUGUCUGGUGGGUAGUUUGACUGGGGCGGUCUCCUCCUAAAGAGUAACGGAGGAGCACGAAGGUUGGCUAAUCCUGGUCGGACAUCAGGAGGUUAGUGCAAUGGCAUAAGCCAGCUUGACUGCGAGCGUGACGGCGCGAGCAGGUGCGAAAGCAGGUCAUAGUGAUCCGGUGGUUCUGAAUGGAAGGGCCAUCGCUCAACGGAUAAAAGGUACUCCGGGGAUAACAGGCUGAUACCGCCCAAGAGUUCAUAUCGACGGCGGUGUUUGGCACCUCGAUGUCGGCUCAUCACAUCCUGGGGCUGAAGUAGGUCCCAAGGGUAUGGCUGUUCGCCAUUUAAAGUGGUACGCGAGCUGGGUUUAGAACGUCGUGAGACAGUUCGGUCCCUAUCUGCCGUGGGCGCUGGAGAACUGAGGGGGGCUGCUCCUAGUACGAGAGGACCGGAGUGGACGCAUCACUGGUGUUCGGGUUGUCAUGCCAAUGGCACUGCCCGGUAGCUAAAUGCGGAAGAGAUAAGUGCUGAAAGCAUCUAAGCACGAAA